rnacentral:rRNA from 1 species
CCUACGGGUGGCUGCAGUGGGGAAUAUUGCACAAUGGGGGAAACCCUGAUGCAGCGACGCCGCGUGAGUGAAGAAGUAUCUCGGUACGUAAAGCUCUAUCAGCAGGGAAGUAAAUGACGGUACCUGACUAAGAAGCCCCGGCUAACUACGUGCCAGCAGCCGCGGUAAUACGUAGGGUGCAAGCGUUAUCCGGAUUUACUGGGUGUAAAGGGCGCGUAGGCGGCAGGACAAGUCUGGAGUGAAAUCCCGGGGCUUAACCGCGGAACUGCGUUGGAAACUGGGCGGCUGGAGUGCAGGAGGGGAAAGUGGAAUUCCUGGUGUAGCGGUGAAAUGCGUAGAUAUUAGGAGGAACACCGGUGGCGAAGGCGGCUUUCUGGACUGUAACUGACGCUGAGGCUCGAAAGCGUGGGUAGCAAACAGGAUUAGAUACCCGUGUAGUC